GAUGAAGAACGCAGCGAAAUGCGAUAAGUAAUGUGAAUUGCAGAAUUCAGUGAAUCAUCGAAUCUUUGAACGCACAUUGCGCCCGCCAGUAUUCUGGCGGGCAUGCCUGUUCGAGCGUCAUUUCAACCAUCAAGCCCCCGGCUUGUGUGUUGGGCCUCCGUCCUCCUCCCGGGGGACGGGCCCGAAAGGCAGCGGCGGCACCGCGUCCGGUCCUCGAGCGUAUGGGGCUUCGUCACCCGCUCUUGUAGGCCCGGCCGGCGCUUGCCGACACAUCAAUCUUUUUUCCAGGUUGACCUCGGAUCAGGUAGGGAUACCCGCUGAACUUAAGCAUAUCAAUAAGCGGAGGA
rnacentral:misc_RNA from 1 species